rnacentral:rRNA from 1 species
AGGUAGAGAAUACCAAGGCGCUUGAGAGAACUCGGGUGAAGGAACUAGGCAAAAUGGUGCCGUAACUUCGGGAGAAGGCACGCUGAUAUGUAGGUGAAGUCCCUCGCGGAUGGAGCUGAAAUCAGUCGAAGAUACCAGCUGGCUGCAACUGUUUAUUAAAAACACAGCACUGUGCAAACACGAAAGUGGACGUAUACGGUGUGACGCCUGCCCGGUGCCGGAAGGUUAAUUGAUGGGGUCAGCGCAAGCGAAGCUCUUGAUCGAAGCCCCGGUAAACGGCGGCCGUAACUAUAACGGUCCUAAGGUAGCGAAAUUCCUUGUCGGGUAAGUUCCGACCUGCACGAAUGGCGUAAUGAUGGCCAGGCUGUCUCCACCCGAGACUCAGUGAAAUUGAACUCGCUGUGAAGAUGCAGUGUACCCGCGGCAAGACGGAAAGACCCCGUGAACCUUUACUAUAGCUUGACACUGAACAUUGAGCCUUGAUGUGUAGGAUAGGUGGGAGGCUUAGAAGUGUGGACGCCAGUCUGCAUGGAGCCGACCUUGAAAUACCACCCUUUAAUGUUUGAUGUUCUAACGUUGACCCGUAAUCCGGGUUGCGGACAGUGUCUGGUGGGUAGUUUGACUGGGGCGGUCUCCUCCUAAAGAGUAACGGAGGAGCACGAAGGUUGGCUAAUCCUGGUCGGACAUCAGGAGGUUAGUGCAAUGGCAUAAGCCAGCUUGACUGCGAGCGUGACGGCGCGAGCAGGUGCGAAAGCAGGUCAUAGUGAUCCGGUGGUUCUGAAUGGAAGGGCCAUCGCUCAACGGAUAAAAGGUACUCCGGGGAUAACAGGCUGAUACCGCCCAAGAGUUCAUAUCGACGGCGGUGUUUGGCACCUCGAUGUCGGCUCAUCACAUCCUGGGGCUGAAGUAGGUCCCAAGGGUAUGGCUGUUCGCCAUUUAAAGUGGUACGCGAGCUGGGUUUAGAACGUCGUGAGACAGUUCGGUCCCUAUCUGCCGUGGGCGCUGGAGAACUGAGGGGGGCUGCUCCUAGUACGAGAGGACCGGAGUGGACGCAUCACUGGUGUUCGGGUUGUCAUGCCAAUGGCACUGCCCGGUAGCUAAAUGCGGAAGAGAUAAGUGCUGAAA